UACGUAGGGCGCAAGCGUUGUCCGGAAUUAUUGGGCGUAAAGAGCUCGUAGGCGGCUUGUCACGUCGGUUGUGAAAGCCCGGGGCUUAACCCCGGUCUGCAGUGGAUACGGGCAGGCUAGAGGCAGGUAGGGGAGAACGGAAUUCCCGGUGUAGCGGUGAAAUGCGCAGAUAUCGGGAGGAACACCGGUGGCGAAGGCGGUUCUCUGGGCCUGUACUGACGCUGAGGAGCGAAAGCGUGGGGAGCGAACAGG
rnacentral:rRNA from 1 species